rnacentral:rRNA from 2 species
GGGUUGUGAGGUUAAGCGACUAAGCGUACACGGUGGAUGCCCUGGCAGUCAGAGGCGAUGAAGGACGUGCUAAUCUGCGAAAAGCGCCGGCGAGGUGAUAUGAACCUUUGACCCGGCGAUGUCCGAAUGGGGAAACCCAGUGUGUUCCGACACACUAUCGUUAACUGAAUACAUAGGUUAACGAGGCGAACCGGGGGAACUGAAACAUCUAAGUACCCCGAGGAAAAGAAAUCAACCGAGAUUCCCCCAGUAGCGGCGAGCGAACGGGGAGCAGCCCAGAGUCUGAAUCAGCUUGUGUGUUAGUGGAAGCGUCUGGAAAGUCGCACGGUACAGGGUGACAGUCCCGUACACGAAAAUGCACAGGUUGUGAACUCGAAGAGUAGGGCGGGACACGUGGUAUCCUGUCUGAAUAUGGGGGGACCAUCCUCCAAGGCUAAAUACUCCUGACUGACCGAUAGUGAACCAGUACCGUGAGGGAAAGGCGAAAAGAACCCCGGCGAGGGGAGUGAAAAAGAACCUGAAACCGUGUACGUACAAGCAGUGGGAGCACCUUCGUGGUGUGACUGCGUACCUUUUGUAUAAUGGGUCAGCGACUUAUAUUCUGUAGCAAGGUUAACCGUAUAGGGGAGCCGAAGGGAAACCGAGUCUUAACUGGGCGUUAAGUUGCAGGGUAUAGACCCGAAACCCGGUGAUCUAGCCAUGGGCAGGUUGAAGGUUGGGUAACACUAACUGGAGGACCGAACCGACUAAUGUUGAAAAAUUAGCGGAUGACUUGUGGCUGGGGGUGAAAGGCCAAUCAAACCGGGAGAUAGCUGGUUCUCCCCGAAAGCUAUUUAGGUAGCGCCUCGUGAACUCAUCUUCGGGGGUAGAGCACUGUUUCGGCUAGGGGGCCAUCCCGGCUUACCAACCCGAUGCAAACUACGAAUACCGAAGAAUGUUAUCACGGGAGACACACGGCGGGUGCUAACGUCCGUCGUGAAGAGGGAAACAACCCAGACCGCCAGCUAAGGUCCCAAAGUCAUGGUUAAGUGGGAAACGAUGUGGGAAGGCACAGACAGCCAGGAUGUUGGCUUAGAAGCAGCCAUCAUUUAAAGAAAGCGUAAUAGCUCACUGGUCGAGUCGGCCUGCGCGGAAGAUGUAACGGGGCUAAACCAUGCACCGAAGCUGCGGCAGCGACGCUUAUGCGUUGUUGGGUAGGGGAGCGUUCUGUAAGCCGUUGAAGGUGUGCUGUGAGGCAUGCUGGAGGUAUCAGAAGUGCGAAUGCUGACAUAAGUAACGAUAAAGCGGGUGAAAAGCCCGCUCGCCGGAAGACCAAGGGUUCCUGUCCAACGUUAAUCGGGGCAGGGUGAGUCGACCCCUAAGGCGAGGCCGAAAGGCGUAGUCGAUGGGAAACAGGUUAAUAUUCCUGUACUUGGUGUUACUGCGAAGGGGGGACGGAGAAGGCUAUGUUAGCCGGGCGACGGUUGUCCCGGUUUAAGCAUGUAGGCGGAGGUUCCAGGUAAAUCCGGUACCUUUUAACGCUGAGGUGUGAUGACGAGGCACUACGGUGCUGAAGUAACAAAUGCCCUGCUUCCAGGAAAAGCCUCUAAGCAUCAGGUAACAUCAAAUCGUACCCCAAACCGACACAGGUGGUCAGGUAGAGAAUACCAAGGCGCUUGAGAGAACUCGGGUGAAGGAACUAGGCAAAAUGGUGCCGUAACUUCGGGAGAAGGCACGCUGAUAUGUAGGUGAAGCCCCUGCGGGUGGAGCUGAAAUCAGUCGAAGAUACCAGCUGGCUGCAACUGUUUAUUAAAAACACAGCACUGUGCAAACACGAAAGUGGACGUAUACGGUGUGACGCCUGCCCGGUGCCGGAAGGUUAAUUGAUGGGGUUAGCGGCAACGCGAAGCUCUUGAUCGAAGCCCCGGUAAACGGCGGCCGUAACUAUAACGGUCCUAAGGUAGCGAAAUUCCUUGUCGGGUAAGUUCCGACCUGCACGAAUGGCGUAAUGAUGGCCAGGCUGUCUCCACCCGAGACUCAGUGAAAUUGAACUCGCUGUGAAGAUGCAGUGUACCCGCGGCAAGACGGAAAGACCCCGUGAACCUUUACUAUAGCUUGACACUGAACACUGGUCCUUGAUGUGUAGGAUAGGUGGGAGGCUUUGAAGUGUGGACGCCAGUCUGCAUGGAGCCGUCCUUGAAAUACCACCCUUUAAUGGCUGGUGUUCUAACGUAGACCCGUGAUCCGGGUUGCGGACAGUGUCUGGUGGGUAGUUUGACUGGGGCGGUCUCCUCCCAAAGAGUAACGGAGGAGCACGAAGGUUAGCUAAUCCUGGUCGGACAUCAGGAGGUUAGUGCAAUGGCAUAAGCUAGCUUGACUGCGAGAGUGACGGCUCGAGCAGGUGCGAAAGCAGGUCAUAGUGAUCCGGUGGUUCUGAAUGGAAGGGCCAUCGCUCAACGGAUAAAAGGUACUCCGGGGAUAACAGGCUGAUACCGCCCAAGAGUUCAUAUCGACGGCGGUGUUUGGCACCUCGAUGUCGGCUCAUCACAUCCUGGGGCUGAAGUAGGUCCCAAGGGUAUGGCUGUUCGCCAUUUAAAGUGGUACGCGAGCUGGGUUUAGAACGUCGUGAGACAGUUCGGUCCCUAUCUGCCGUGGGCGCUGGAGAAUUGAGGGGGGCUGCUCCUAGUACGAGAGGACCGGAGUGGACGCAUCACUGGUGUUCGGGUUGUCAUGCCAAUGGCACUGCCCGGUAGCUAAAUGCGGAAAAGAUAAGUGCUGAAAGCAUCUAAGCACGAAACUUGCCCCGAGAUGAGUUCUCCCUGAGACUUUAAGUCUCCUGAAGGAACGUUGAAGACGACGACGUUGAUAGGUCGGGUGUGUAAGCGCAGCGAUGCGUUGAGCUAACCGAUACUAAUGAACCGUGAGGCUUAACCUUACAACGCCGAAG